rnacentral:rRNA from 1 species
GCAUACCUACGGGGCGCAGCAGUGGGGAAUAUUGCACAAUGGGGGGAACCCUGAUGCAGCGACGCCGCGUGAGUGAAGAAGUAUUUCGGUAUGUAGAGCUCUAUCAGCAGGGAAGAUAAUGACGGUACCUGACUAAGAAGCCCCGGCUAACUACGUGCCAGCAGCCGCGGUAAUACGUAGGGGGCAAGCGUUAUCCGGAUUUACUGGGUGUAAAGGGUGCGUAGGUGGCAGGGCAAGUCAGAUGUGAAAGCCCGGGGCCCAACCCCGGGACUGCAUUGGAAACUGGCAUGCUGGAGUGCCGGAGG